rnacentral:rRNA from 1 species
UACGGAGGGUGCAAGCGUUGUUCGGAAUUAUUGGGCGUAAAGGGCUCGUAGGCGGUUUGUCGCGUCUGCCGUGAAAGUCCGGGGCUCAACUCCGGAUCUGCGGUGGGUACGGGCAGACUAGAGUGAUGUAGGGGAGACUGGAAUUCCUGGUGUAGCGGUGAAAUGCGUAGAUAUCUGGAGGAACACCGGUGGCGAAGGCGGGUCUCUGGGCCGAAACUGACGCUGAGGAGCGAAAGCGUGGGGAGCAAACAGG